GAUAGCUGCUAUCUGAGUGGCUGACGGUCCUGCCUCUCGAGUUGGAGGCAUCCUGACUUAGUUGCUGGGAGCCUAACAAGGUCUUGCUCAGUUGUCUAGGCUAGAGUACAAUGAUGUGAUCAUAGCCCACUGCAGCUUUGCACUCCUGGCCUAAAGGGAUCCUCCCACCUUAGCCUCCUGAGUAUCUGGGAUAACAUGGAUCAAGGAUUCAACAUGAACUCUAGUCUUAAUAGUCUCAAGGGAUCAGACUGAGUCCUCUGGAGGGACUAGAAACCGAUACAAUGUAAGAGGCCACUUGUGUCCUUCACUAAUCAGAAACUUUUAUAUUUUAAUGGCACUUCACAGAAUCCCCUGAGAAGAAAAGAAAGAGGCAGACCCACCAAAAAAAGGAAACCCCAAAGGUGAAAAGACAAGGACUGAAAACAAACUCCACCCUGGAUUGAGUUAUAGCAUCAAAUACCCUACUGGUGAUAUGGAAGUGCUGGGUAGAGGAGGGCGUGAUCCCUCCCUAGGGCUCCACCCCCACAUACCUAGGUGAGGACAGGCAUUUCCUGCCCAACUGUUGCAUUUCCCAAGACCGCCCUGGCCUGCCACACCCCCAUCUUGUGCCUAUAAAAACCCCCAAGACCCUAGCAGGCAGACCAGAGGCAGGUGGACAUCGAGAGGAGCACACUGACACUGGCACACCUGCAGGCCACCUACUGGCAGAAGCAGAAGGACACAAAUUUGGUAGGGACAGUUAGAGGAGAGUCCAGGCUGCUGAUCAGCCAGACUUCAGGGGAAAACCAUCUCCUUUCUGGCUCCCCCAUCUGCUGAGAGCUACUCCCAUUCAGUAAAACCUUGCACUCAUUCUCCAAGCCUCGGUGUGAUCUGAUUCUUCUGGUACAUCAAGGCAAGAACCCAGGAUACAGAAAGCCCUCCGUCUUUGCAGAAGAUAAAGGGUCUAAUUGAGCUAACGCAAGCCGACUACGGAUGGCUAAACUAAAAGAGCACCCUGUAACACACACCCACUGGGGCUUCAGGAGCUGUAAACAUUCACCCCUAGACACUGCCAUGGGGUCAAAGCCCCACAACCUGCCCAUCUGCAUGCUCCCCUAGAGGUCUGAGCAGCGAGACAAUGAAGAAGCGAGGCACAUCCGCAUCGCACACCCUGCGAGGGGGACAAGGGAACUUUUCCUGUUUCGACGGGACAGGAAGCGUUACAGGCCACCAUCUUUAGUUAGAAAGGCAGUGAGUGCCAAAAAACAAGGAAUGUAAGAUUCAGACUAAAAAUGUGUCUCAUUCGCUGGGAUAAUUGUGCCAACUUUCGUUAUAGGAAGCCAGAAGAUCCUAUCAGGGUAGUUAUCAGAUCAUUAAUUUUGUGUCACAUACAACCUGUAUUGUUACCUUUAAGAACUUCCUGUAUUCUCGGCUUCAAAUAUUUCAGGAAGUGGUCAGGUGUAGUACAGAGAUCUGGGGCAAUCAUUGCAUGUUGGAGUCGCGGAUUCCAAAGGCUUUUGGGAACAGAUUUGUGAGAAAAGAGUGAAAAGGAAGCAAGCAGGAGGAUGUUUAUUUUUAAUAAAGGGACCCUGCCCUAACUUCCUGAACUAAAACCAGUCUAGACUUGUUUUUUCCAUUUUACACAAUGUCCGUAACAACAGAAUACAUUUAUUAAAACCAAACAAACUGGGGGUUGAGUUUUGGCACAGAAAGUCAUACAGAAAUAGAAUCGGCUGCUCUUCAGUUGGGGCGAGUGACUGAUUUACAAACCAGCAGUAGAUUAAGGCUGCACUGGCCUUAACUGAACUGAAGUUAUUUUCAUUAUGAAGAGACAAUAGAGAGGCAAAAUGUCUGGCCUGGCGCCUGGGAAGUGAACUAGUUAGUCCAUCAAUUCUGACCUCCUUUUCCUUCAGUUUUCAAAACUCAAGAGAUUAGAGCUAGGAAGGACCCUUAUGGCAUUUUCUUCAUAACUUUGUGUGGAGAAAACUGAGUCUCAGAGAAGUUAGAUGUUUUUGCCUCCACAUUCACAGCCAUAGAUUAAAGCAAUGUAUCACUAAAUUACCAGACAGUACCUACAAAUGGGGAGAUUUAGUUUUGGCUCCUGUGGGUUGGGAACAUAAGUGUGGCAACAAUUCAAUUUGCACACAGUUGAGCACAGAUUCACAGUCAACUCUUUUUUUUUUUUUUUGAAAUGGAGUCUCGCUCUGUCACCCAGGCUAGAGUGCAGUGGCACGAUCUUGGCUCACUGCAAACUCCACCUCCUGGGUUCAAGUGAUUCUCCUGCCUCAGUCUCCCAAGUAGCUGGGACUACAGUUGCCCACCACCACACCCAGCUAAUUUUUAUACUUUUAGUAGAGACAGGGUUUCACCAUAUUGGCCAGGCUGGUCUUGAACUCCUGACCUUGUGAUGUCCCUGCCUCGGCCUCCUAGAGUGCUGGGAUUACAGGCAUGAGCCAUGGUGCCCGGCCCACAGUAAGCUCUUUAGUAAUUGGUAGACUCUGUGUUUGGAGAUGAUCCGGCUUCUCCCCUCUUCUUCUCAGCCAUUUUAGGGUGCCUUCAGUAGUGCUUCAGCAUUUAGAUGCAGGUAGGUGUGUUCUUAAUCAGCGUUUAAGGAAUGUCUGAGUCCAGGCCAAAGUCAAUGUGUAUUUUUACAUUUCAGAAUGCUUUUCAUUCCUCAUCUCGCUUAAUCCCUACAGUAUACUUAUAAGGAGACAGAAAGUUAAUUUGAGCUAGAUGUGGUGGCAAGUGCCUAUUGUCCGAGCUACUCAGGAGGCUGAAGCAGGAGGAUUGCUUGAGUCCAGGAGUUCAAGGUUACAGCUAUGAUCAUACCACUGCACUCCACCUUGGGUGACAGAGUGAGACCUUAUCUCACGAAAAAAACUGU
rnacentral:sRNA from 1 species